rnacentral:rRNA from 1 species
AUUGAACGCUGGCGGCAUGCCUUACACAUGCAAGUCGAACGGUAACGGGCCUUCGGGUGCCGACGAGUGGCGAACGGGUGAGUAAUACAUCGGAACGUGCCCGAUCGUGGGGGAUAACGAGGCGAAAGCUUUGCUAGUACCGCAUACGAUCUACGGAUGAAAGCAGGGGACCGCAAGGCCUUGCGCGGACGGAGCGGCCGAUGGCAGAUUAGGUAGUUGGUGGGAUAAAAGCCUACCAAGCCGACGAUCUGUAGCUGGUCUGAGAGGAUGAUCAGCCACACUGGGACUGAGACACGGCCCAGACUCCUACGGGAGGCAGCAGUGGGGAAUUUUGGACAAUGGGCGCAAGCCUGAUCCAGCCAUGCCGCGUGCAGGAUGAAGGCCUUCGGGUUGUAAACUGCUUUUGUACGGAACGAAAAGCCUUCUUUUAAUACAGGAGGGUCAUGACGGUACCGUAAGAAUAAGCACCGGCUAACUACGUG